rnacentral:rRNA from 1 species
GAUGAACGCUGGCGGCGUGCCUAAUACAUGCAAGUCGAGCGAACGGACGAGAAGUUUGCUUCUCUGAUGUUAGCGGAGGAGGUGUGAGUAACACGUGGAUAACCUACCUAUAAGACUGGGAUAACUUCGGGAAACCGGCGCUUAUCCCGGAUAAUAUUUUGAACCGCAUGGUUCAUAAGUGAAAGACGUUCUUGUUGGAACUUAUAGAUGGAUCCGCGCUGCAUUAGCUAGUUGGUAAGGUAAAAGCUUACCAAGGCAACGAUGCGUAGCCGACCUAAGAGGGUGAUAGGCCACACUGGAACUGGACCAGCGACAAGACGCCUACGGCAGGCAGCAGUAGGGAAUCUGCCGCAGAGGGCGAAAGCCUUACGGAGCAACGCCGCGUGAGUGAUGAAGGUCUUCGGAUCGUAAAGCUCUGUUAUGAGGGAAGAACAUAUGUGUAAGUAACUGAGCACAUCGUGACGGUACCUAAUCAGAAAGCCACGGCUAACUACGUG